rnacentral:rRNA from 1 species
GAUGAACGCUGGCGGCGUGCCUAACACAUGCAAGUCGAACGAUUAAGACGUCUUCGGACGUGUAUAGAGUGGCGAACGGGUGAGUAACACGUGACCAACCUGCCCCCUACUUCGGGAUAACGCAAGGAAACCUGCGCUAAUACCGGAUACUCCUUCUCCUCCUCAUGGGGGAGUCGGGAAAGCCUUGUGCGGUAGGGGAUGGGGUCGCGGCCCAUUAGGUAGACGGCGGGGUAAUAGCCCACCGUGCCUGCGAUGGGUAGCCGGGUUGAGAGACCGACCGGCCACAUUGGGACUGAGAUACGGCCCAGACUCCUACGGGAGGCAGCAGUGGGGAAUUUUGCGCAAUGGGGGAAACCCUGACGCAGCAACGCCGCGUGCGGGAUGACGGCCUUCGGGUUGUAAACCGCUUUCAGCAGGGAAGAUUAUGACGGUACCUGCAGAAGAAGCCCCGGCUAACUACGUG